GGGGGCGAUCGGUUUCGACGGGAUAUGAGAAAUGCUAGAUUGCAUGCGGAGGAUGUCAGUUCCCUCCUUAAUCAUCUGACAAAACACAUAAAUGCCGAUUACGGCUACAUGGCUGCAGCUUAACUGAUGCAACCCGUCCCGAGCUUGAUGCGUCUAUGGUUGGGCUCAGGGACGUCACCUACAUAGGCUGGCUCCGAAAUCUGCCUGUGUUUUUGGAGUAAGAUAAAGCAGGCUGGUUCCACUCUAUUUUUGUCCUUGGUUGGGCGUGGAAUAAGAUAAAAAUCGAGAGACUAAGCAUGUAGAUGUCUUUCAUCCCUCUAUUUCGGACGGGAGUUCAAUUCUCCCCGCCUCCAC
rnacentral:tmRNA from 1 species